UACGGAGGGGGCUAGCGUUGUUCGGAAUUACUGGGCGUAAAGCGCGUGUAGGCGGACCUGCAAGUCGGGGGUGAAAGCCCGAGGCUCAACCUCGGAACUGCCUUCGAUACUGCGGGUCUCGAGUCCGGGAGAGGUGAGUGGAAUUCCUAGUGUAGAGGUGAAAUUCGUAGAUAUUAGGAAGAACACCAGUGGCGAAGGCGGCUCACUGGCCCGGUACUGACGCUGAGGCGCGAAAGCGUGGGGAGCAAACAGG
rnacentral:rRNA from 1 species